AUUGAACGCUGGCGGCAGGCCUAACACAUGCAAGUCGAGCGGAUGAAGGGAGCUUGCUCCUUGCUUCAGUGGCGGACGGGUGAGUGAUGCCUACGUGUCUGACUGGCCGUGGGGGAUGAGGUUACGUAAGGAAAGCUGAUACAGCAUCCGUCAUACGUGAGAAACUCAGGGAUCUUAGGACCUCGCCCUAUUUGCUGAGCCUAGGUCGGAUUAGCUAGUUGGUGUGGUAAAGGCUCACCAAGGCGACGAUCCGUAACUGGUCUGAGAGGAUGAUCAGUCACACUGGAACUGAGACACGGUCCAGACUCCUACGGGAGGCAGCAGUGGGGAAUAUUGGACAAUGGGCGAAAGCCUGAUCCAGCCAUGCCGCGUGUGUGAAGAAGGUCUUCGGAUUGUAAAGCACUUUAAGUUGGGAGGAAGGGAGGUAAGUUAAUACCUUGCUGUUUUGACGUUACCGACAGAAUAAGCACCGGCUAACUCCGUG
rnacentral:rRNA from 1 species